AUGCAGGUUGAUGACGGAGGAUGUUGUUGUUGUUAUGAAGAUAAAGGUGUGAAUCAGAGAGUGGACGAUUUGAUGAAUGUUGAAGAAGAUUCAACACAAUUCAUAGUUGAGAGAGUGCAGGAAUUGGAGCCCCCCCUAAUAAAUCUGAGGCGUGUUUUAAUGUGUAUCCGAACUAAACUUGAAGGUGCAUGUAUAUUGAAAUGUGGACCUAAUACAUGUGAGCUUCGGUUUCCGAAUUGGUUUCUGAUGGCUGCUAGUCGUAUGCAGCACGUAGGCUUGAUGUUAAGGGUGAGAACCAAGUUGCAAAGUUAUUAUUAUCAUGGAGGACUUAAAGAGAAUUGA